rnacentral:rRNA from 1 species
GGCGGACGGGUGAGUAACACGUGGAUAACCUACCUAUAAGACUGGGAUAACUUCGGGAAACCGGAGCUAAUACCGGAUAACAUAUUGAACCGCAUGGUUCAAUAGUGAAAGGCGGCUUUGCUGUCACUUAUAGAUGGAUCCGCGCCGUAUUAGCUAGUUGGUAAGGUAACGGCUUACCAAGGCAACGAUACGUACCCGACCUGAGAGGGUGAUCGGCCACACUGGAACUGAAACACGGUCCAGACUCCUACGGGAGGCAGCAGUAGGGAAUCUUCCGCAAUGGGCGAAAGCCUGACGGAGCAACGCCGCGUGAGUGAUGAAGGUCUUCGGAUCGUAAAACUCUGUUAUCAGGGAAGAACAAAUGUGUAAGUAACUGUGCACAUCUUGACGGUACCUGAUCAGAAAGCCACGGCUAACUACGUGCCAGCAGCCGCGGUAAUACGUAGGUGGCAAGCGUUAUCCGGAAUUAUUGGGCGUAAAGCGCGCGUAGGCGGUUUUUUAAGUCUGAUGUGAAAGCCCACGGCUCAACCGUGGAGGGUCAUUGGAAACUGGAAAACUUGAGUGCAGAAGAGGAAAGUGGAAUUCCAUGUGUAGCGGUGAAAUGCGCAGAGAUAUGGAGGAACACCAGUGGCGAAGGCGACUUUCUGGUCUGUAACUGACGCUGAUGUGCGAAAGCGUGGGGAUCAAACAGGAUUAGAUACCCUGGUAGUCCACGCCGUAAACGAUGAGUGCUAAGUGUUAGGGGGUUUCCGCCCCUUAGUGCUGCAGCUAACGCAUUAAGCACUCCGCCUGGGGAGUACGACCGCAAGGUUGAAACUCAAAGGAAUUGACGGGGACCCGCACAAGCGGUGGAGCAUGUGGUUUAAUUUGAAGCAACGCGAAGAACCUUACCAAAUCUUGACAUCCUUUGUCCGCUCUAGAGAG